rnacentral:tRNA from 1 species
GGAGAUGUAGCUCAGUGGUAGAGCUCUAGACUAGCAUGUUCAAGGGCCUGGGUUUGAUCCCCAGCACCA